GUACACUCCUACGGGAGGCAGCAGUGGGGAAUAUUGGACAAUGGGCGCAAGCCUGAUCCAGCCAUGCCGCGUGAGUGAUGAAGGCCCUAGGGUUGUAAAGCUCUUUUGUGCGGGAAGAUAAUGACGGUACCGCAAGAAUAAGCCCCGGCUAACUUCGUGCCAGCAGCCGCGGUAAUACGAAGGGGGCUAGCGUUGCUCGGAAUCACUGGGCGUAAAGGGUGCGUAGGCGGGUCUUUAAGUCAGGGGUGAAAUCCUGGAGCUCAACUCCAGAACUGCCUUUGAUACUGAAGAUCUUGAGUUCGGGAGAGGUGAGUGGAACUGCGAGUGUAGAGGUGAAAUUCGUAGAUAUUCGCAAGAACACCAGUGGCGAAGGCGGCUCACUGGCCCGAUACUGACACUGAGGCACGAAAGCGUGGGGAGCAAACAGGAUUAGAUACCCGAGUAGUCCC
rnacentral:rRNA from 1 species